rnacentral:snRNA from 1 species
NUGCUCACUUCAGAAGCACAUAUGCUAAAAUUGGAACAAUACAGAGAAGAUUAGCAUGACCCCUGCACAAGGAUGACACACAAAUUUGUGAAGCAGUCUAUAUUUUU